AUUGAACGCUGGCGGCAGGCCUAACACAUGCAAGUCGAACGAGUGGCGGACGGGUGAGUAAUGUCUGGGAAACUGCCUGAUGGAGGGGGAUAACUACUGGAAACGGUAGCUAAUACCGCAUACCAUCAGAUGUGCCCAGAUGGGAUUAGCUAGUAGGUGGGGUAACGGCUCACCUAGGCGACGAUCCCUAGCUGGUCUGAGAGGAUGACCAGCCACACUGGAACUGAGACACGGUCCAGACUCCUACGGGAGGAAGCAGUGGGGAAUAUUGCACAAUGGGGGCAAGCCUGAUGCAGCCAUGCCGGGUGUGUGAAGAAGGCCUUCGGGUUGUAAAGCACUUUCACCAUCGACGCGGUAGAUGGAGAAGAAGCACCGGCUAACUACGUGCCAGCAGCCGCGGUAAUAC
rnacentral:rRNA from 1 species